GAAAGUUUUUCAUAGCCAUAUUAUGUUAACUCCUCUUUUGAAUUGCUACAUUAUUCCUUCUGUGUGAAACUUACAUCAUUACAACUGGAUAUUUUCUCUGAAAGAAAACGCUACAUCAGCUGCCUAGCUUUUGGAGACUUUGGCUCCUCUGUCAACGUUAUCCUUCUGAGGACACAACAUGUUCUUCUGGAUUGGAAACAACUAGCUGGCAGAAGUUUAACUUGUGGAAUGUGGCAAUGAAAAUUGCAGUAACCUCUCUAUAUAACUUACGGUGCUGUAAAUGCACAGCAGCUGUUAAUAUGAUUCUGUCGAUACAUUUACCAUGGUGAUUUGGCAGUAUUUGGCGACUGUGAAGAAAUCACUCAUGGGCUGGAAAGGAAGAAC